GGGCCUGGAAAUGCCGAAAUGAGAUUGUCUUAGUCGUUAGGCUUUUCCUGUUGCUUUUCAAGUCAAGGUGACGGAGACCAUGCUGAGUGGAUUCAGGGCCCAGCCCUGUAGGUACUUAAUGACUUCAGUGUGGGCUUUUAAUCUCCUGCCCUAGUGUUAUCUUACUUGCCCAGACAAGCCUUCCCCAUUCUAGGAGAGUGUGGGAAAAUUAACAAUGCCAGAGCAACCGGGGAAGGAAAGAAAUGUCUGAAGCUAGUAAUGAAUUGCAUUAGUAUUUAUUUUAAUGCGGUCUGGAAACAUACAGCUUGAAAUCUCUGUGCUGCUUAAAGAGAGACCAGCACCCUUCCGUGGAGGUAAAAAAAUAAAAAGAGGAUUGAAAAAUAUACAGAGCAUAGCAAUCUUUACUGCUGGAGCAGCUCUCAGGAAACCUGAAGUGCUGAAUGUAAUAAAAUGUUGACAGGAGUUUCACUUAACAUGCGGGAACUCUGGACCAGAACGACAUCUUUGGCACCAAAGGAAAUCAGGAGAAUAAAAGCAGUCGUCAGGAUUUGAAGUAAAGCCACAGAUUAUUACCAUCUGUACAUUUUCCAGACCCCAUGCAAAACCAGAAAGCCAGGACCCAGACUGGAGAGAAACAGGAAACUUGGCAGAGGGGGAUGCUUUUCAGAGUAACUUAAGAAAACUUCAAAGGCCGCUAAUUUCCCCAGAUCUCUCCGAACUAGAAGCACUGUUUCUUCCAAAGAAGUUCAAAGUGCCAUGAGGAGAGACACCAGAACUUGGUCAGAUUUCAAGUUCAGGAGUAGACCUGAGCUCCCGGAUGAGAGAAGAAGCUGCCCCCCAAGCCUGGGUAGUCCAGAGAACCCCCCGAUGGGAGUGGGCCAUCCUGUCACCUUGGCGGGGCCUCACCCUGCUGCUCUGGGGCAAACAGUGCCCCUCCUGCCCACUGUCUGCCGUUGCACCCGACUAGACCAUUUCGGGCGUGCUUGAGGCAAAGGUGAAGCAGUUGCCCUGGCUGUGAAGUUCACAGGUUCCCGAGAAGGUGAGGGGGAAGGAGAGUCCUCAGCUACUUUUGGCCUGUGACAGCCUCUAGGUAGAAAAGGUCCUGGGGAAAGAUAAGGACACCUCAAGAUACCAGUCCUGGUUUUAGAAGUGUCUUCCUAGCGGGGUUUAGUAGAACACAUGUGAAUUUUACAAUCAGAACAAACUGGUUCGGGACCCCAGUUUUGCUCGCUGCCUGUGUGACCCUGAACGAGCUACUCGUUCUCUCUCUGCACCUCAGUUUCUUCAUCUGUGAAGUGGGUCGUGGUGAUCACUUGAGGGUUUUCUUUUGAGGCUUUGAUGCAAUGACAUAGAUGAAGUGCCUAGCAGAUUGUAGGGCUCCUUGUGGGCCCUCAAAAAUAGGGACAGUUGAUCAGU